GGCAGCAGCCCUUCUCAGCUCGCUUGCUCAGGCCUGGGCUCGACUGGGAUUCAGCCCCAACUCAGCCAUGACGAGGACACUUCUGGAAGGGCUGAGGUGGAGGUGGUGAAGAUCCCUGUGAUGUAAGUGACCCGCUUCCACUCACCACGACCUGGACAGUCAGCACUGGCCAUGAGCCCUGGACGCGCUGUUUUGUGUUUGUGAGGCAGGCAGUGGAACCACUGAACUAAGUCCUGGCCCCACAAAUCAUCCCAUUUCCCAACAGUGAAUGACUCACCAGCCAGGGUCCAGCUGAGCCCAGCCACCACCAUGAAGGAGCCAGGAGCUGCACAAUGGCCACUUUGGGCUCCAAGAGCCUCAGCCAUUAGCAGAAAGGGUGGAUUUGCCAGUUCCCUGCCUGCGCUCCACCUGGGUCUGCAAGGCCUGGUUCACAUACCCUGGGAGGUCGUCCCAGGUCCACAGGCUCCCCCCACCAGAAUGGCCUCGGCUGGUGCUGGGGAAGAAUGGGGAGCAUGGACACGUCACCCACUUUGGGGCCCGAAGGUCACAGCAGCGCAAGGCACGGGACCCCAGAAGGGACCCCGUGCCACCCUCAGACAAGGAGAGCUUGCAGUCCACGCAC